AGAGGAUUGGAAGGCACUAGCCUCUGGUGUACCUGUUGUUCCGCUAGGAGCAGCGCAGGGUAGCUAAGCUGGGAAAGGAUAAAUGCUGAAUGCAUCUAAGCGUGAAGCCCCCCUCAAGAUUAGGUCUCGGUUCCCGACUCGUCGGGAUGAAGGCCCCUCGUAGACGACGAGGUCGAUAGGCCGGAAGUGUAAGGGUAGAAAUACCUUCAGCGGACCGGUACUAAUGGCCAAAGGCUUGAUCGUAU
rnacentral:rRNA from 1 species